rnacentral:rRNA from 1 species
GAUGAACGCUGACAGAAUGCUUAACACAUGCAAGUCUUUGGCGAAGCUGUGCUUGCACAGCCUAGCCAAGGCGGACGGGUGAGUAACGCGUAAGGAACUUGCCCUGCAGUCAGGGAUAACAGACGGAAACGACUGAUAAGACCUGGUAAAGUCAGGCGGACUCAUGUCCAGCCUGAUGAAAAGAGAUGCUGCAGGAGAGCCUUGCGUCCUAUUAGCUUGUUGGUGGGGUAACGGCCCACCAAGGCGAUGAUAGGUAGCCGGCCUGAGAGGGUGGACGGCCACAAGGGGACUGAGAUACGGCCCUUACUCCUACGGGAGGCAGCAGUGGGGAAUAUUGGACAAUGGGGGCAACCCUGAUCCAGCAAUUCUGUGUGCACGAUGAAGGUUUUCGGAUUGUAAAGUGCUUUCAGCAGGGAAGAAAAAAAUGACGGUACUUGCAGAAGAAGCGACGGCUAAAUACGUG